rnacentral:rRNA from 1 species
UCUAAGUCCAUACCACACUGAGUGCAUCAGACCUGGUCGUAUCCUGGAAGCUAAGCAGGGUCGGUCCUGGUUAGUACAUGGAUGGGUGACCUCUUGGAAAUACUGGGGGCUGUUGGAU